UCUCUGGUGGCCUAGUGGUUAGAGCGUCAACCUCGGAUGCUGGAGGUUGUGGGAUCGAUCCCAAGUGGAGUCAU